rnacentral:lncRNA from 1 species
UCCUCUGUUUCAGCAGCAGCUAGAACAAACUCAGGCUGUACCCUUUCAGCUUCGCUGAAGGUCCCAUCUACGGCGUUGGGCUGCCCCAAUGCCUUCAAGGCUAAGUGUGCUGCUUUCUGCCCUGAUAUCAUCAUUGCUCCAAAUGUUGGACCCUGAAAAAACCAAAUCCACAAUUUCAUCGUUAUAACACAUCAAUAACUCAAAUCACAAUUAAAAAGUAAAAAGGGAGUGUUAAUAGUUACCAUUCUUGGGGCACCAUCAAUCUCUGCAACUUCCAUUCCUGUUACAAUCAUGCCAGGCACAAUUUCCCUUGUAAGCCUAACGAUUGCAUCCUCUGCCGUGUUCAUAUCCAGUGCCUUCAUUCCAGGGACGCUGUCAAUCAUCCCAAUGCUCUUCAAUCUCUUGACCCCAGUGGCUCCAAAAGGUCCAUCAUGUCCACAAGAACUGACCACAACCUUAGACUCCAUCACGUUCGGGUCCAUGCAGGAUUGUGUGUCGUGGUUCAUUGACACCAAAGCCCAGUUCGUUACCACACCGGCAACCCUGUUUCCUUUGACUAUCAGAUCCUCAGCAGCCACAGCAUUGAACAACUUCACGUUAGGCCUUGCUAAAAGCUUGCUCAUGAUUGUUGAUGUGAACAAAGCUGCAUGCUUGAUGACAACGUA